CCAAAAUUCAACCACCAAAAGAGGCCAAGAUUAAUGUUAAUUAUUGAUGUUGAGGUGUGAUGGAAAAAUGGAUUUAUUCACACGGUGGACCCCACAGUUGACACCACCCACAUGCUAUUGGAGUUUAUAUUCCAAAAAAGAUAGACCUCACCAAUAAAAGGACAAUUAGAACAAGUGUCACACACUCCAAUUUACUAAACCAUAAUUAACUAUUCCUAAACCAAAAGGUCCUUUUACCUAUACAUACUUUACAUUUUUCAUAUGUACCUAACCAUAUAACAAACCCUUUACUAUCCUCACUUUCUCCUAAUCCCUACAAUUCUCACAUCAAACCAUAACCAAACAAUUGCAAUCAUCAUUUAAUUCUCAUCAAAUCCAUAUAUGGAUCCUCAAAGUAAAAUACAAUUAAGGAUCCUUAAUUGGAUCAUAUUACUUGUUUGUGUCACUCUUCCAAUUGAAGCUAUGGAAUCAAGGAAGCUAGUUGAGAAGUGCACACCAUGUGGUGACAAUCCAAUUUCAUCACCACCUCCAAUAAUAUACAAUUCACCACCACCACCAUAUGUAUAUCCAUCACCACCCCCUCCAUCGCCAUCACCGCCACCAGUAGUAUACUAUUCACCACCACCACC
rnacentral:lncRNA from 1 species